rnacentral:rRNA from 1 species
UACGAAGGGGGCUAGCGUUGCUCGGAAUUACUGGGCGUAAAGGGAGCGUAGGCGGACAGUUAAGUCAGAGGUGAAAGCCCAGGGCUCAACCCUGGAAUUGCCUUUGAUACUGAUUGUCUUGAGUAUGGGAGAGGUAUGCGGAACUCCGAGUGUAGAGGUGAAAUUCGUAGAUAUUCGGAAGAACACCAGUGGCGAAGGCGGCUCACUGGCCCGAUACUGACGCUGAGGCACGAAAGCGUGGGGAGCAAACAGG